UAGUUAAAACCCAUAACUCGGAUAUUGAACUGGAUCGGCCACUUCACAAGCUAUGCUUGGGUUGGGUUAAGGUCAUGGUGGGUCCAAGAACACAUCAGCUAACUUCAGCUUAUCCAUCAAUCUUUCUCAGAAAGCAAGGGAACCUUCCGCUUGUCAUCAACCUGCCAAGCUACUGCAGACCCUGCACUCCCUUGUAGAACCCGCUGUAGCUGCAAAGCAUAUGGUCUGGUUCAUCAAGUGAAGGCACAUUCAAUUUAACAAGAGUCAGUUUUUAAUUUAUUUUAUGGGGACCAAGGAUAGUUGUUUAUUACGCUAUCAUGGAAGACAACAAAGAAAACUACUUUGAGUUGGUGCAGAGGGUGCCAUCAUCCCUCGCUACAUGACUUGGAUGCAAUAUUCUGAAUGAAAGGAGGGCACCAGCAGCCAUGAAACAAAUGGAAGGCUAUGUAGGUCUUGUCAUUGACACGGUCUCGAGCCGAUGGUAGUUCAGUGUGAAAGGGUCCAAAAGAGAGAUGUAGAUGCCCCUGGGGCCAUCAUGAUAGCUCCUUGUCCAGCCCAACGAGGACCUGCACGAACGCAAAAGUCUGAUCACGAUAGUGAUUGUAAUAAAGAAAGAGCCUGCAUGAAGGACAAGAGUGGAGCAGCCAUCAGCAAGGGUGAGACGCGGACCGAAUAUAUUAUAGAUGCCCCCACCAAGGAUUCAAAAAAUGGAGAAGGCAGUUUAGAGGGCAGUGGUGGCAUUAUUUGCUGCAGUUGCCUUGACCUGACCACCGCCUUCCAUGCCAGACAGGGCAUUGAACAUUCCCGGGCAGCGGAAACAGAUCAGACCUAUCAAGCUAACCUGGACAAGGGGUUGAGCUGAACCUGAAAAGAGAAGACCUUCCUUGCACUUUGACUGCUGCAGCUUCAUCUCCUCCGGCUCCCGUAUUCCCUUGGUUAAUCAUACUGUUCAGGCAGAAGAAUGUUAUAUGAGAAACUGAUUUGACAAGGAUGGCACUUCUGUCACACGGGAUGAAUUGAUGGCGUUUCCUUUGUAGAGGAGCCUUGAUUUCUGCGAUGGAACAUUUGCGUGGUCAACUAAUAACUAGCUCUCUGUAUUUCGAAGGGAUGAUUUCCGUUGGUAACUAAGAAUCCUGCUAUGGCACUAGCCAUUGUUCUUGUUUCAA